rnacentral:rRNA from 1 species
UACGUAGGGUGCAAGCGUUGUCCGGAAUUAUUGGGCGUAAAGAGCUCGUAGGCGGUUCGUCGCGUCGGCUGUGAAAACCCGGAGCUCAACUCCGGGCCUGCAGUCGAUACGGGCGGACUUGAGUGUUGCAGGGGAGACUGGAAUUCCUGGUGUAGCGGUGAAAUGCGCAGAUAUCAGGAGGAACACCUGCGGCGAAGGCGGGUUGCUGGGCCGACACUGACGCUGAGGCGCGAAAGCUAGGGGAGCGAACGGG